UCCAUCACAGCCAACAAAUAUUUAUCAUCCCAAUAGCUUCCUCAAAUCACAUCAUCACCUACCCAAUUCCCCACCGACGCAAACACACCGAUCGUCUCUCAAGUUUUAUCACCACAUAUAGGGACUUUGGAAGCUUAAUUUUUCUCGGUAGAAGUUUCAGCAACAACUGCGACUCUCCGGCGGCGUAGGUUGUGCUUUUUUGAAAUUUGAGACAAAAGAACAAGCACUGACAUCUAUAGAAGUCCUCAAUGGAAAGCAUAACAUGGAGGGUUCGACUAUACCUUUGGCGGUCAAGUGGGUAGAUACAGAGAAGGAAAGACAGGCUCAGAGGGCACAAAAGGCAUUGUCGUUGGCCUCUAAUGUGCCAAAUAUUGAUUCCAGGAAGCAGGCAUCGUUAUUUGGUGCCUUGCCAAUGGGUUAUAUGCCUUCAAUUGAAGUGAUUAUUCUGAACAGAUAGCUAACAACAUAAAUUCUUUGGCUGCUGCGAUCAAAUAAGAGAAUUGAGUUCCAUGAUGUUUGUGAUAAUUAUUGGAUUAUUAUGCAUAGGAUUCGUUCUAAGUUCUAACCUCCAAAGAGCAAUAGAUACUUCAAGUACCAACUUUAUUUAUUGGGUGUUUAAUUUAAACAGAUACUCAAUGAAACAAUAUCAAAAUUCAGUUCUUGUGUAACCAAAUUUAAUGCUUUUGUGCGAAAGGCGUGUAUCACCUAGGUUAUUAUAUAUAUAUAUUAUUAUUUUUUUUAAUGCAAUCACUU